rnacentral:rRNA from 1 species
CAAUAGCGUAUAUUAAAGUUGUUGCAGUUAAAAAGCUCGUAGUUGGAUUUCUGAAUUGAAUGUCCGGUCCGCUUAUCUCAGAUGAGUGUGUACUUUAGAUAUUUGGUUCAUUUUUUGUGAGGACAUUUAUCUGUCAUUAAGUUGAUGGAUUUAUAGACUUGCAUCGUUUACUGUGAAAAAAUUAGAGUGUUUAAAGCAGGCGUUCGCCCAUUUGAAUACAUUAGCAUGGAAUAAUAAGAUAUGACUUUGGUGGUCUAUUUUGUUGGUUUGCACACCAGAGUAAUGAUUAAUAGGGACAGUUGGGGGUAUUCAUAUUUCAACGUCAGAGGUGAAAUUCUUAGAUCGUUGAAAGAUGACCUUAGGCGAAAGCAUUUACCAUGGAUGUUUNCAUUAA